ACUCCUGCGGGAGGCAGCAGUGGGGAAUAUUGGACAAUGGGCGCAAGCCUGAUCCAGCCAUGCCGCGUGAGUGAUGAAGGCCCUAGGGUUGUAAAGCUCUUUCACCGGUGAAGAUAAUGACGGUAACCGGAGAAGAAGCCCCGACUAACUUCGUGCCAGCAGCCGCGGUAAUACGAAGGGGGCUAGCGUUGUUCGGAUUUACUGGGCGUAAAGCGCACGUAGGCGGACUAUUAAGUCAGGGGUGAAAUCCCGGGGCUCAACCCCGGAACUGCCUUUGAUACUGGAAGUCUUGAGUUCGAGAGAGGUGAGUGGAAUUCCGAGUGUAGAGGUGAAAUUCGUAGAUAUUCGGAGGAACACCAGUGGCGAAGGCGGCUCACUGGCUCGAUACUGACGCUGAGGUGCGAAAGCGUGGGGAGCAAACAGGAUUAGAUACCCUAGUAGUCCCAU
rnacentral:rRNA from 1 species